rnacentral:rRNA from 1 species
AGCGCAUACGGUGGAUGCCUUGGCAGUCAGAGGCGAUGAAAGACGUGGUAGCCUGCGAAAAGCUUCGGGGAGUCGGCAAACAGACUGUGAUCCGGAGAUGUCUGAAUGGGGGAACCCAGCCAUCAUAAGAUGGUUAUCUUGUACUGAAUACAUAGGUGCAAGAGGCGAACCAGGGGAACUGAAACAUCUAAGUACCCUGAGGAAAAGAAAUCAACCGAGAUUCCCUUAGUAGUGGCGAGCGAACGGGGACCAGCCCUUAAGUUGUAUUGAGAUUAGCGGAACGUUCUGGAAAGGACGGCCAUAGUGGGUGAUAGCCCUGUACGCGAAAAUCCCUUUGCAAUGAAAUCGAGUAGGACGGGGCACGAGAAACCUUGUCUGAAUAUGGGGGGACCAUCCUCCAAGGCUAAAUACUACUGACUGACCGAUAGUGAACCAGUACCGUGAGGGAAAGGCGAAAAGAACCGCGGAGAGCGGAGUGAAAUAGAUCCUGAAACCGUAUGCGUACAAGCAGUGGGAGCCCACUUUGUUGGGUGACUGCGUACCUUUUGUAUAAUGGGUCAGCGACUUAUUUUCAGUGGCGAGCUUAACCGAAUAGGGGAGGCGUAGCGAAAGCGAGUCUUAAUAGGGCGUCUAGUCGCUGGGAAUAGACCCGAAACCGGGCGAUCUAUCCAUGGGCAGGUUGAAGGUUGGGUAACACUAACUGGAGGACCGAACCGACUACCGUUGAAAAGUUAGCGGAUGACCUGUGGAUCGGAGUGAAAGGCUAAUCAAGCUCGGAGAUAGCUGGUUCUCCUCGAAAGCUAUUUAGGUAGCGCCUCAUGUAUCACUGUAGGGGGUAGAGCACUGUUUCGGCUAGGGGGUCAUCCCGACUUACCAAACCGAUGCAAACUCCGAAUACCUACAAGUGCCGAGCAUGGGAGACACACGGCGGGUGCUAACGUCCGUCGUGAAAAGGGAAACAACCCAGACCGUCAGCUAAGGUCCCAAAGUCAUGGUUAAGUGGGAAACGAUGUGGGAAGGCUUAGACAGCUAGGAGGUUGGCUUAGAAGCAGCCACCCUUUAAAGAAAGCGUAAUAGCUCACUAGUCGAGUCGGCCUGCGCGGAAGAUGUAACGGGGCUCAAACCAUGCACCGAAGCUACGGGUAUCAUCUUUUGAUGAUGCGGUAGAGGAGCGUUCUGUAAGCCUGUGAAGGUGAGUUGAGAAGCUUGCUGGAGGUAUCAGAAGUGCGAAUGCUGACAUGAGUAACGACAAUGGGUGUGAAAAACACCCACGCCGAAAGACCAAGGUUUCCUGCGCAACGUUAAUCGACGCAGGGUUAGUCGGUCCCUAAGGCGAGGCUGAAAAGCGUAGUCGAUGGAAAACAGGUUAAUAUUCCUGUACUUCUGGUUAUUGCGAUGGAGGGACGGAGAAGGCUAGGCCAGCCUGGCGUUGGUAGUCCAGGUUUAAGGUGGUAGGCUGAGAUCUUAGGUAAAUCCGGGAUCUUAAGGCCGAGAGCUGAUGACGAGUGUUCUUUUAGAACAUGAAGUGGUUGAUGCCAUGCUUCCAAGAAAAGCUUCUAAGCUUCAGGUAACCAGGAACCGUACCCCAAACCGACACAGGUGGUUGGGUAGAGAAUACCAAGGCGCUUGAGAGAACUCGGGUGAAGGAACUAGGCAAAAUGGCACCGUAACUUCGGGAGAAGGUGCGCCGGUGGAGGUGAAGCAUUUACUGCGUAAGCCCCUGCCGGUCGAAGAUACCAGGCCGCUGCGACUGUUUAUUAAAAACACAGCACUCUGCAAACACGAAAGUGGACGUAUAGGGUGUGACGCCUGCCCGGUGCCGGAAGGUUAAUUGAUGGGGUUAGCGCAAGCGAAGCUCUUGAUCGAAGCCCCGGUAAACGGCGGCCGUAACUAUAACGGUCCUAAGGUAGCGAAAUUCCUUGUCGGGUAAGUUCCGACCUGCACGAAUGGCGUAACGAUGGCGGCGCUGUCUCCACCCGAGACUCAGUGAAAUUGAAAUCGCUGUGAAGAUGCAGUGUAUCCGCGGCUAGACGGAAAGACCCCGUGAACCUUUACUAUAGCUUUGCACUGGACUUUGAAUUUGCUUGUGUAGGAUAGGUGGGAGGCUUUGAAGCGUGGACGCCAGUCUGCGUGGAGCCAACCUUGAAAUACCACCCUGGCAACUUUGAGGUUCUAACUCAGGUCCGUUAUCCGGAUCGAGGACAGUGUAUGGUGGGUAGUUUGACUGGGGCGGUCUCCUCCUAAAGAGUAACGGAGGAGUACGAAGGUGCGCUCAGACCGGUCGGAAAUCGGUCGUAGAGUAUAAAGGCAAAAGCGCGCUUGACUGCGAGACAGACACGUCGAGCAGGUACGAAAGUAGGUCUUAGUGAUCCGGUGGUUCUGUAUGGAAGGGCCAUCGCUCAACGGAUAAAAGGUACUCCGGGGAUAACAGGCUGAUACCGCCCAAGAGUUCAUAUCGACGGCGGUGUUUGGCACCUCGAUGUCGGCUCAUCACAUCCUGGGGCUGAAGCCGGUCCCAAGGGUAUGGCUGUUCGCCAUUUAAAGUGGUACGCGAGCUGGGUUUAGAACGUCGUGAGACAGUUCGGUCCCUAUCUGCCGUGGACGUUUGAGAUUUGAGAGGGGCUGCUCCUAGUACGAGAGGACCGGAGUGGACGAACCUCUGGUGUUCCGGUUGUCACGCCAGUGGCAUUGCCGGGUAGCUAUGUUCGGAAAAGAUAACCGCUGAAAGCAUCUAAGCGGGAAACUUGCCUCAAGAUGAGAUCUCACUGGAACCUUGA